rnacentral:rRNA from 1 species
UACGAAGGGGGCUAGCGUUGCUCGGAAUCACUGGGCGUAAAGGGUGCGUAGGCGGGUCUUUAAGUCAGGGGUGAAAUCCUGGAGCUCAACUCCAGAACUGCCUUUGAUACUGAGGAUCUUGAGUUCGGGAGAGGUGAGUGGAACUGCGAGUGUAGAGGUGAAAUUCGUAGAUAUUCGCAAGAACAUCGGUGGCGAAGGCGGCAUCCUGGACCGAUAUUGACGCUGAGGCGCGAAAGCCAGGGGAGCAAACGGG